rnacentral:misc_RNA from 1 species
UGACCCUCUUACUGACCGUAUAGUCUCUUGGGGUGAUGAUCAAGCUUCCUUUGUUGUGUGGAGACCUCCUGAAUUUGCUAGGGAUCUCCUCCCUAAUUACUUCAAGCACAACAACUUCUCAAGCUUUGUUAGGCAGCUCAACACCUAUGGAUUUAAGAAAGUAGUUGCAGACAGAUGGGAGUUUGCAAAUGAGUGCUUUAGAAAAGGAGCAAAGCAUUUGUUAUCUGAGAUCCACAGGAGAAAAACCCCACUGAAUCAGCACCCACCAGUAGUACUACCUCAUCAAAUUCUCCAACAAGAAGAAAGUUUUGGUUGGAUUGAUCCUCCAAUAUUUCCAUUAUCUCCAAAACCCACAACAGAUCUCCUGACAGCUCUCUCUGAAGAUAAUCAGAGACUGAGAAGGAAAAACUACAUGCUUUUAUCAGAACUUUCCCACAUGAAGAGCC